UGUGUGUGUGUGUGUGUGUGUGUGUGUGUCUCAGACUGUCUGAAGAUGAGUGUGUGUGCGGAGGAAAACAAGGACAGAGAGCGGUCUUCAGGGCUCAGCUGUGUGUCUUUGAAGAGUGAGCGGUCCAUGGGACAGCCUCUGUUGUUCACUACUCAACCGCCGCCUCCUUCACACAAACAAGGUUACUGCAGAGUCUCGGUGGUGUUCAGACUGUCUGUGACUGUGACGAGUGACUGCUGCCGUGAUUCCUCUCCAGACUCAAAAAGGAAGAGUUGUGGUGGUGAGGAAGAGACACUGUCUGUCUGUGUCCAAAGUGUCAUCCCUUCAUACUGGGACCAGUCUGGUUCACCUGCUGGGCGGCAUACACCCAGUCACAGCUGCACUGUAGGAAUUUUAUGGGAAGUUUCACUUGAAAGUAAGAUCCAUCUGAAGAGGAAAUGUGAACGUGUGAUGGAAGGAAGUGAUCAAACAGGAAGUGGAACCAUACUCAACAGGAUCUACGUUGAGCUCUACAUCUCAGAGGGACAGAGCGAGGAGGUCAAUACCCAACAUGAGGUGAGGCAGCUUGAGACAAUGUCCAAGAUGGAGGCCCGCCAUGACUCUCCAAUCAAGUGCCGCGACAUCUUUGAAGCCUUACCUGGACAACCGAAACACAUCAGAGUCGUUCUGACGAUCGGCGUCGCUGGCAUUGGAAAAACUUUCUCGGUGCAGAAGUUCUGUCUGGACUGGGCCGAGGGUUUGGAAAACCAAGAUAUCAGUCUGGUGAUACCGCUUUCGUUCAGGGAGCUAAACUUGAUCAAAGAUGUGCAGUACAGUCUUCUCGAGCUGCUUUGUGUUUUCCAUCCAACGUUACAGAAGCUCACAGCAGAGCAGUUUGCUAGCUGUAAAGUUCUCUUCAUCUUUGACGGCCUGGAUGAAAGCAGAAUUUUACUGGAUUUCAACAACAAUGAGAAUAUGUCUGACAUCACACAGAAGUCAUCGAUCAACGUGCUGUUGACAAACCUCAUCGAGGGGAAGCUGCUUCCCUCGGCUCUCGUCUGGAUAACUUCCCGACCUGCAGCAGCCAAUCAGAUCCCUGCUGCGUGUGUCGACAGGGUAACAGAAGUACGAGGCUUCACUGACGCCCAGAAGGAGGAGUAUUUUAGAAAGCGAGUCCGUGAUGAAGAGCUGUCCAGCAGAAUCAUCUCCCACAUCAAGACAUCCAGGAGCCUCGACAUCAUGUGUCUGAUCCCAGUCUUCUGCUGGAUCACUGCUACAGUUCUGUACCACAUGUUGACUACAGAUCAGAGAGGAGAGCUGCCCAAGACCCUGACUGACAUGUACUCACACUUCCUGCUGGUUCAGACAAAGAGGAAGAAGCACAAGUAUGCUGAGGGACAUGAGACGAGUCCACAGGAGCUGACGGAGGCCGACAGGGAAGUUCUUCUGAAGCUGGGGAGGCUGGCGUUUGAACAGCUGCAGAAAGGAAACAUCAUGUUCUACCAAGAAGACCUGGAGCAGUGUGGUCUGGAUGUCACAGAGGCCUCUGUGUACUCAGGAGUUUGUACACAGAUCUUUAAAAGAGAGACUGUGAUCUUCAAGAAAACAGUUUACUGCUUCAUUCAUCUGAGCGUUCAGGAGAUUCUUGCUGCGGUCUAUAUUUUUCAUUGUCACACAAACGGGGAUUACGAGACACUGGAGUCAUUUCUGGGAAAAGCCUGGGGUAGGUAUCGUAGCUGUGACCCAUCUUUGGGAACAUUCCUGAGGAAAGCCAUGGAUGAAUCCCUGAAGAGCAAAAAUGGCCACCUGGACCUGUUUGUCCGCUUCCUGCACGGCCUAUCACUUGAGUCGAAUCAGAGACUGUUAGGAGGCCUUUUAGGUCAGACAGAGAACAGUCCAGAAAGCAUCCAGAAAGUAAUCCACAAUCUAAAGGAGAUGAGCACCUACGACAUCUCCCCCGACAGAAGCAUCAACAUCUUCCACUGUCUGAUGGAGAUGAAUGACGGCUCAGUACAUCAGGACAUCCAAAAGUACCUGAAGUCAGAGAACAAAUCAGAGACACAACUCAUGGAGAUCCAUUGCUCAGCUCUGGCAUUCAUGCUGCAGAUGUCAGACGAAGUUCUUGAUGUAGUAGACAUGAAGGCGUACAGGACGUCAGAGGAAGGACGACUUAGACUGCUCCCAGCUGUCAGGAAUUGCAGAAUGGCUCGACUUUCCUGUGGUCGACUUUUUGAUACUCACUGUGAAGUUUUGGCCUCGGCUCUUAAGUCCAACCCCUCCCAUUUGAGAGAGCUGGACCUGAAUGACAACAAGCUGCAGGAUUCAGGGGUGAAGCUGCUGUCUGCUGGACUGGAGAGUCCACACUGUAGACUGAAGAGUCUCAGAUUAAGUGACUGCUGGCUAUCAGAGAGCUGCUGUUCUUCUCUGGCCUCAGCGCUGAAAUGCAAUCCCUCCCCUCUGAGAGAGCUGGACCUGAGUAACAACAAACUGCAGGAUACAGGAGUGAAGCUGCUGUCUGCUGGACUGGAAAGUCCACUUUGUAGGCUGGAGACUCUCAGUUUGAAGCACUGCAGCUUGACAAAGAGCAGCUGUUCUUCUCUGGCUUCGGUUCUCAAGUCCAACACGUCCCACCUGAGAGAGCUGGACCUGAGUUACAACAAGCUGCAGGAUUCAGGAGUGAAGCUGCUAUCUGCUGGACUGGAGAGUCAAUACUGUAGCUUGGAGAUUCUAAGACUAAGUUUUUGCAGUUUGUCAAAAAGCACCUGUAGUUUCUUACACUCAGCUCUGCAGUCCAACCCCUCCCAUCUGAGGGAGCUGGACCUGAGUGACAAUAAGCUGCAGGAAUCAGGAGUAAAGCUGCUGUCUGCUGGACUGGAGAGUCCACACUGGAGAUUGGAGACUCUCAGGGUGACUUAAACCUUGACUGCAGCUGAGAGCUUUGAAAAAUCCCUGCGGUCUACGACACUGAAAGGAAGCUUCAGAUCUGCAGUUGGUCUCUUUGGCAAUUCACCGUCUCACCGUGUUUGUCUCCGGCUCUCUCUGUAGGUUUGGUUUCUGCUGCUCUCUGCCUACACAACUCCCCAAUAUCCUCCCAUCCGACAGUUCAGAGAGAAUUAGAAUCUCUUCAUGCACCUUUAUAGUGUGUGCGUGCGUGCAUGCGUGUGUGUGUGUGUGUGUGUGUGUGUGUGUGUGUGUGUGUGUGUGUG